UAUUAAUUAAAUUUGUUUACUUAAUAAUUAUUAUUGCAUUAAUAAUAUGCGGUCAUGUAUAUUUGUUCUUAUUAAUUACAAAAUUUAUGCUAACGAAAAUGCAUUAUUGAUACAUUACUGAUUUUGAUCUAUAAUUAAUAUGUUAACAUAUUAAUUAAUACAUUUUAUAAUUUAUACAUUUUCUACAUAACAACAAAAAUCUAACUUUAUAUAUAAUAAUUAUUAUACAUGGAGAGUCUUUAACGCAAUCUCGUUUCGGCUAAUUAGUUGAAAUUGCCUAUAUUAUGUAUAACGUAUAAACGUUCGGCUCCACAUACUUUGAAACUUAUAUAUGGAAAACGCUAUGCUGAGGCUGCAAUUAUGAAUUAUCUAUUAGUUUCCUAACUUUUCAGUGACAUAUAAUCCGCGUCGCAGUGAAACGGCAAUAUUAUGCACAAGUUCGAAAUUGUUUGGAAAACAUGCGCCUAUUUGAGAAAGUUUCUUUGCACAUUGUCAUUAUUAUGUUAACGAAUGCACAACGCGAUAUCCGUCAUGUGAUGAAUGUGUAUAAUUAUCAACUACUACCGAAAUAUAAUAUAAUCAGUGUUUUUGCCCCAAGAAAUUUAAUGGUUCCGAGCCGCGGCUUUUGCAGAGUUUUCCAAAUUGAAUUUUAAAUUUAUCGUCAUUUACAUUUCUAUUAGCUCGUUAUUCAUGCAUUACCUUUUUAUAAAACCCGAUCAUCGGGUGGAACUUAACGCAGAGAUUACAAGUGCAGUGAUUUUAUAUGCCACUGGGUGGAAUAUCUAUCCAACUAAUGCCUGUACUAGCUAUACCAACAAUGCUCCAGCUAAGUUUGAUCAUUGGCGUGUAACGUUGUGCUAUGGUAAACGCUGCUAUUGGCAUAAUAUUGGAAUAAGAACAUACGGAACAGGAUUGAUACGACAUUAUAUAGUUGAACUAGUACUUUGAAGAUAUUAGUGUUAUUGGAGGAUAUUGAUGUAAUUAACAUUGGCAGAUAUUGGUUUGAACCAAUAAUUAAUAGGGAGAGAUCUCAAUACUCCGUUUCUUAGAUUAAAAUAUUAUUUGCACGUUCGCCGGAAUUAAUGACGAAAUACCACAGUGGGAUGUUCUGAUUAAUAGUCAGCGAAGAAAAUAUUAUUGUCUGGUUGUCACUACUGAGCAUUGAACUCAUUCGACAGUUUCUCGAUGGAUUUUUACAGCACGGAAGCGCCAUAAAAUUCCAUAUCGCGAAAGUGCACAUUGGCAACUGCAGACGGAUUUAACGGCGUCGUACGAAUCACGUCAGGAGCAAUCAACGGCAGUUCAGUUGACCAGAAACAAUAACUCCGGAAACUCCAAAUAGAGGGAUCGGCUAUAAUAACGGUGCGCUCAGUAAAAUAACGGGCGGGCAAAAUCGGUGGUGUAUCGCACCUCACACAGGAAACAAAGCCAGUCGGUCCGCCUGCAUGCCACUGGGCCGUGCAUGCAAUGCGCGCUGGUCCACCGCAAAGCUACACGCGCGCACGCGACCGUGUAUAUGUAUGCAUCGGUACAUGUUAUUGUUUGAUCAAGCGACGCCCGCGAUGCAACUGCAUCGAAGUAGACCAUGUAUGACGAAGCACACAACUUGGCCCGUACUCAUCGUACUGCAACGAAACUGCACGCAGCGUCCGCUUUUUCGGGAAAAUAUUUGCAGUGACAAGCACGGUUCGCUUUCUCUGCCUCGUAUAUGCCUUCGCGUUCGUCGCGCGGAGAACUCUUCAAAGUCUAACUGUUCGCGCUCAAAGCGUGGUGUAACGAAUUUCGAAACUCGACGUAGCUCAACAUGAAUUUGUUUUAUUUUUAUUCGAACAUUGUUGUCUCUCUCUCUCGAGAUUUUGUUUUAUAA